rnacentral:rRNA from 1 species
UACGUAGGCAGCAAGCGUUGUUCGGAGUUACUGGGCGUAAAGGGUGUGUAGGCGGUUCUUUAAGUUUGGUGUGAAAUCUCCCGGCUCAACUGGGAGGGUGCGCCGAAUACUGAGGGACUAGAGUACGGGAGAGGAAAGUGGAAUUCCUGGUGUAGCGGUGAAAUGCGUAGAUAUCAGGAGGAACACCGGUGGUGUAGACGGCUUUCUGGACCGUAACUGACGCUGAGGCGCGAAAGCGUGGGGAGCAAACGGG